UACGUAGGGUGCAAGCGUUGUCCGGAAUUAUUGGGCGUAAAGAGCUCGUAGGCGGUUUGUCGCGUCGAAUGUGAAAACCCGGGGCUCAACCCCGGGCCUGCAUUCGAUACGGGCAGACUAGAGUUCGGUAGGGGAGUCUGGAAUUCCUGGUGUAGCGGUGAAAUGCGCAGAUAUCUGGAGGAACACCGGUGGCGAAGGCGGCAUCCUGGACCAACACUGACGCUGAGGAGCGAAAGCCAGGGGAGCAAACGGG
rnacentral:rRNA from 1 species